GUCUACGGCCAUACCACCCUGAACGCGCCCGAUCUCGUCUGCUCUCGGAAGCUAAGCAGGGUCGGGCCUGGUUAGUACUUGGAUGGGAGAAAUCUACACCUGUCAUGUGAACA
rnacentral:rRNA from 1 species